rnacentral:SRP_RNA from 1 species
GCCAGGCGUGGUGGCGCAUGCCUGUAAUCCCAGCUACUUGGGAGGCUGAGGCAGGAGAAUCGCUUGAACCCAGGAGGCUGAAGUUGCGGUGAGCCAAGACUGCACCAUUGCACUCCAGCCUGGGUAACAGAGCAAGACCCUGUCUCAA